rnacentral:rRNA from 1 species
CCUACGGGUGGCAGCAGUGGGGAAUAUUGGACAAUGGGGGCAACCCUGAUCCAGCCAUGCCGCGUGUGUGAAGAAGGCCCUCGGGUUGUAAAGCACUUUCAGUGAGGAAGAACGCCUGGUGGUUAAUACCCAUCAGGAAAGACAUCACUCACAGAAGAAGCACCGGCUAACUCCGUGCCAGCAGCCGCGGUAAUACGGAGGGUGCGAGCGUUAAUCGGAAUUACUGGGCGUAAAGCGCGCGUAGGUGGCUUGAUAAGCCGGUUGUGAAAGCCCCGGGCUCAACCUGGGAACGGCAUCCGGAACUGUCAAGCUAGAGUGCAGGAGAGGAAGGUAGAAUUCCCGGUGUAGCGGUGAAAUGCGUAGAGAUCGGGAGGAAUACCAGUGGCGAAGGCGGCCUUCUGGACUGACACUGACACUGAGGUGCGAAAGCGUGGGUAGCAAACAGGAUCAGAUACCCCGGUAGUC